rnacentral:rRNA from 1 species
UACGGAGGGUGCAAGCGUUAUCCGGAUUCACUGGGUUUAAAGGGUGCGUAGGCGGCCCGGUAAGUCAGUGGUGAAAGCCUCCAGCUCAACUGGAGAACUGCCAUUGAUACUGCCGGGCUUGAGUACAGACGAGGUUGGCGGAAUUGAUUGUGUAGCGGUGAAAUGCAUAGAUACAAUCAAGAACUCCGAUUGCGUAGGCAGCUAACUAGGCUGUAACUGACGCUGAGGCACGAAAGCGUGGGGAGCGAACAGG